GCACAAGCGGUGGAGCAUGUGGUUAAUUCGAAGCAACGCGAAGAACCUUACCAGGUCUUGACAUCCCUGACAACCCGAGAGAUCGGGCGUUCCCCUUCGGGGGACAGGGUGACAGGUGGUGCAUGGUUGUCGUCAGCUCGUGUCGUGAGAUGUUGGGUUAAGUCCCGCAACGAGCGCAACCCUCGACCUUAGUUGCCAGCAUUCAGUUGGGCACUCUAAGGUGACUGCCGGCUAAAAGUCGGAGGAAGGUGGGGAUGACGUCAAAUCAUCAUGCCCCUUAUGACCUGGGCUACACACGUGCUACAAUGGGCGGUACAAAGGGUCGCGAACCCGCGAGGGGGAGCCAAUCCCAAAAAGCCGCUCUCAGUUCGGAUUGCAGGCUGCAACUCGCCUGCAUGAAGCCGGAAUCGCUAGUAAUCGCGGAUCAGCAUGCCGCGGUGAAUACGUUCCCGGGCCUU
rnacentral:rRNA from 1 species